rnacentral:lncRNA from 1 species
AAAUCUUCAAUGAUAAAAUUUGAUCCUUACAAUUUGCACGUUUGUUUUAUGUAGGAGAUACAGCAGUUCGAGAAAUUUUUGAAUAGACUGGUAUAAAGUCCGAAUUCAGGAUCCUCCUGCAGAUUGGACAAGGGCACACCAGUCUGCAGCCUUCAGGAAGUCGGAUAUGCACAUCAUCUGCCGCCUCCAGCCAUAUUCAUUCCGCAUAAACUGCUGCGAGCCUGAAUGUCUAAGGUGCCAGAGGAUGGACCUCGGAGAUCUGGUCAGGACAACUGGAGGAUCUCCUUGACCCAUCCACGUGGAAUCCCGGUUCAUUUGCCAGCAGCUACAUCUGCUGAGAGGACCUAUUUGGGGACUGCCAAGAAGCAGCAGAGGCAACUUGGUUUUGCCAAUACAGUAUGUGGUUUUGUUCUCCUCUCCUUCCUCACCCCAUUUCCUUGA